rnacentral:sRNA from 1 species
AUCUUGGAAGAGAGUAACUCAGGACAAAUCCAAUCACAGAAACAAAAUAAAGAACAAAUCACAAAAGAUGAUAUAAUACAAUGGUGAAGUGAGGCGCUUACCUCAAUCAAAGAAUGAACGAAGUUGGUCGUCAAUGGCUGCCUGUGAUUGCUCCCAAGCCAUAGACGAGCCACCCUGUUCUGUAUCAGCUCCAGCAGGUGGGUACUCGACCUCAUCAGCUCUGUGGAUACUCGACCUCUCUUCCUCUGCUGCGGCCAGCACCGUGGUCGAGUGAUCUCCUCGAGUGAAUUAGGCAUGAUCUACUGCUAGAGCGAACGAGUGUAGCCUUCCUUCUUCACUUGUGCUCCCGGGACUCGAAUGACGAAUGCCUAGCAGGGACAUGUGAGACUCUCUGCUCACUAAGCUCAGGUCUGUGCUCAGGCUCAUCAAAUCUCCUCAAUGGCAUAUCUAGAGGAGGCUGUCCCUGUGGAAUAGCUGUAGUAGAAGAGGAACAGCUCAGUUAAUCUAUCAGAAACUUGAUAGUCUUAAAGCACUUGGCGAGCCGCUUGUCCUGCUUCUUGCAACACUUCUGCAGCUUAUUGUUGUUCCUAUGAGCUUCACUCAAGCUCUUGCUCUCCCUCGCCAGAGGUACAUGUUCAUCAAAAUGAUACAUGCUAGUGUCGAACUCCACUGCUCUGUCUUCAUCCAUCCCAUCCUAAGCAGCUUCUUCUAUAAGAUCAUCCUCAUCCAAUGGCGGAGCGUUCUCAUAGUAGAGGUUUCCAAGCUCAGGCCGAAAAUCAAUGUUAUCUCCCUCUAUUAUCCGUGUAACCUUAGGGCUGGGGAGAAGGAUGCUAGCUCUCUUAUCCGUAGAGUGCUUAAACCUAAAACAGUGCAUGUCGCCAACCAUUCCGAACUUCAGGACGUAGGAUGCUAACUCCAGGACUUCGCAGUGACGUAGAUGCUUGAUAUCAAUUGCCCGUGGCUCGAGUCCAUCAGAUGUGAUUGGGACUCCACAAGCAAUCAGAAUCGGUGUCACAACACCGACUAUGCAAAGAGCGCCUCGUGCUCUCUUGUGAUUAUUGCUGACAGCCCAGCUCUUGUAUCCACACAGGUGGAUUAGAAGAAGUACAGAGAAAGGUGUGUCAUUGAUUUCACAGAUAUGUUGUUCUUAGUUUGGUAGAGAGUGCCUUUGAGAGCAUAUAGCGAUCAUCUCCAUAUCAGAAUUGGUAACAGUCCCUGUGAUCUCUCUGGAGUAGAGGACAUUGGCUAUAGAACGCUGGAAGUACCUGAUGACAGGGCUGCGUAUCUGAUUGCUCUUUAACCUGGAAGAAUUUAGCGGUACAGAGCUGCCAAUGGUGAUCCAUAAGUCUUUCAACUCUUCUCUGUCAUACUUGGGCUUAGUACCCGUUCCACUGGGGAAACCAAAAAGUCCUUCCAAGCGUUUGAUUGAUAACCUAUACUCAUGACCAUACACAGAGAAUCUCAAGAAUCCCAAUCCUUCGCAAUCCAACUCAUCAGAGGUCAUACCUUGGUAAAGCUCCACUUGCCGUGUGGAGAGGAAUUGAAUUGUCUCUUCUUCAUAUGCUACAUACGGAUAAGCCAUCAGAGUGUCCACAUGACUACUCUGGUACAGGUGUUGAACAUCUUCCAACAAUCCAAGUUAUGCAAGUGUGGUCGAGCAUGGAUACCUUGUGCUACAGAACUCAUUUAGUUUGAAGAGUCUGAUAUACUCCUCAGCAGGUAAUACAUCUGGUUUGUGAAGAAGCUUUGUGGCUCUACUAGUAUGCUCAAGCAUGUACUCGUCUUCUAGAUCCUCAUCUAUAAGCUCGUACCUCUCUGUCAUUGCUCUCUUCCCUCGAGCUAUCUCAGCUUUUCUUCUGAAGCUAUCAAAUUCUAUCUUUUCUCUCUCUGGCCUUGAAGAUGACGACUAUGUCUCAUCCAUGUUGUAGUCAGGAUCAACUGAAGAAUUGCCACUGUAAUUACUCAUGAUUCUCUUGUAGAAGAUUUAGAACUCAAAACUCCAAUAUCAAUAGGAUAGUCUCAAAGAGAACAAUCAAACCAAAAUUGUUAACAACAGACAAUAUAGACCCAAACGGUCAAGUACAAUCAAAUACUCAAGUAAGCUU